UGGGUAUACUUGGGCCCAAGCUUAAGCUUGUCAAAUAAACCCUCAUGUGAUUGCAUCGGUGCUUGGCUCCUUGGUGGUCUCUCAGACGCGAAAACUCGGGCACAACAGUAUAAUAUAAAAGCC